rnacentral:lncRNA from 1 species
AGAACUUAUCCUAAAGGAAAAGAAUACAGAUUAACAAGAUGUCUCUCUGGACUCACGUCUGAGUCACAAGAUUAGGGACUGCAAUCAAGAGUGGAAAAAAUCUUGAAGAAUUGACUCACUAAAGCUUCCGUCAGACAUUGACAGCUCAAUGGAGCAUUGCUUUGCAGCCCCUGUAAUGGUAAUCAUAUGAAAGCAUUUGCCCCACCCCAGGGUGACCGUGGGAACCUGGAGAAGUUAAGAAAUGAAUGUAAUAGACUGAACUGCAAGCUGUGGCAGUCUGGGUCUGGAAGGAGAAGAAGCUGUAGAAGAUAUUUUCCUUCAGUAGCUUCUCCACAGCCAUGGUGGGAGAUGGCAGAAACAGCCAGCAUCACUUCUGGGAGGUGGACCACAGAAGAGAAAAAGAAACAACAGACCCAAUAGGGUCUCGCAUGGUUCUGAACACAUAGUAAAUGCUGAAUUACUAUUUCCUAAAUUAUCAUAAAGCUGAGAAGAAUCAUGAUUCUCAAACUUCACCUUGGAAUUAAAAUGGAUUUCCUUGAGAAGCACAUAUGAGGUAUACUCUUACUGGCAUUUUCAACUUAAGCCUUGAUAUCUCUUGACAUGUGAUUCUUCAGCAUAAGAGUACUGAUGCUCUAAAUAAAAUGCCAUUUUUAUGGGAAGAUCAGGAUAAAUCAGCAUGCCUUGGUUACCUCACACUUUCAGAGUCACUGCUGUUUUAACCCCCCAAAUAGCAUGUUGAUUAUAUUAGGAAACCUUUCUGACAAGUAUACUUAGAGCAGAAGGGAA